GACGAACCGAGCGAACGUUGUUCGGAAUCACUGGGCUUAAAGGGCGCGUAGGCGGGCUGUCAAGUCUGGGGUGAAAUCCCGCGGCUCAACCGUGGAAGUGCACUCGAAACUGCAGGGCUAGAGUCCUGGAGAGGAAGGUGGAAUGCUUGGUGUAGAGGUGAAAUUCGUAGAUAUCAAGCGGAACACCGAUGGCGAAGGCAGCCUUCUGGGCCAACACUGACGCUCAUGCACGAAAGCGUGGGGAGCAAACAGG
rnacentral:rRNA from 1 species